AGUUUCACACAGUGGCAAUAUCAUAGCCAAUGAGAUUUAUCCGAGGUGUGAUUAUUGCUAAUUUUUGAAAUUUUUCCCAAUACCCUGCCAUGACGACUUGAAAUAAAGUCAACCUUGGCAAUUUUUGACUGUCUCUCCCGUGA